GCACUUUCGCAGUCACUGGUGGUCAUGGCCUUUACUUUCUGUCGUCACAGAUUUUUUGUUCAUAUUAUUUCAAAACCGUCUUGCCAAAUAUUACGAAGUUUCAUCUUUUCCUUCUGGCAAGUUACCCGCCCUGUUCUUUCUUCCACGUUGAUUAUCUGCGAGUGUAGUUGGCUGUGACGUGGAAUAGCUGACUGCGUUUGUGGAAAUUCGUACAUUAUGUUCCCCAGCAUUGGUUCGCAAGGAAACUAUCUGGACAAAAAGGAAACAGACAAGGCAACUACUGAGCCAGGCUUCAUGGAGUGAUUGUAAUUGCAGAGUAGAAGGCUGAGGGAGGUGGUUUCAUGAACGACUGCGUGCACUGCUAAAAUCUUCAGCUGGUUCAGACGUGACUGGUUGUCUGCCUGGAGCUGCCAGCGCACAGCCAGAUCUAGGCAGUGAUGAGCCCAGUGUUUGUCGCCAUGUUGCGUUUGUUGCAUGUCAUUUCGUAACAUGGCGGCAAACACUGGGCUUCUUACUGACGUGUUGCAAAUCGCCGUGCAAGAAGUGUGCAUCUACUAGAUAGAGGUAAGAGACAUAUGAGAAGUUCUCUUACAAUAAGUGUGAAACAGUUUCUUUCCUUGCCAUUCCCUGCAUCAUGCUUGGGUGACAAUGUGAACUUAAAAAGUCCCAAAGACAGUUCUUGGAGUAGAUAGGGAUUUUGCGUUAAUGGAAAAAUGCUGAAGUAAAAUAAUUACAGCUUCUUGGCAGUUUAUUAAUUCAAAAUGUGUACUGUGAUGCCAGAUAAUUCUUCCUGAUGAUUACUCAGUAUUCAUACAGGCAACACAAAAUUACUCUCUUCAGUAGUAGUUCACCAGUACAUCUAACAUAGUAUCUAUACAUCUAAGAAACCUGUCAGGACUGUAGAAGCAGAUCUUAACCAUUUUCUUUUUUACAAGUGCACCCUUUGGUGAUAAUUAAAAAAAAAUCAUGUGUUUUAAUAGUUAUAGAUAAAUGGUAAUGUCAAAGAUAAUUUAAGAACCUAAAUAUUUUAGUCAGUCACACUAUUAUUUAGGGCUAAUAAAUCUUUGUGGAAAACGAUUGUAUUGUUUUUUUUGGGU